CAAAACCCUUCAUCUAAACAGACCACAAAAAAGAGAGGUCCAAAAAGCUUGCAAAAAUAGCAUAGAAUUGAAAAAUUGCACCUGUCACUCCGAGCUCAAACCCAGGUUAAGGUGAUUCGGUUUGCACCACAAUAAACCAUAAAUUACUGAUUAGGUGAUUCGGUUUGCACCACUAUAAACCAUAAAUUUUACACACAAUAGAAUGAUUUUUUUAUUUAUUUUAGUCUAUGAUCUAAACAAGUCGCACAUAGUGAUCAUCCACUAUCAUGUCUAAUGUUCAAUUUUUGAGAGCUACAAAUGAAUACUUAAUUAGUAAGGUAAGCUGUUCAUAUAAUAAACAGAAAAAAUGUAGCAAUUUUAACAUAAGGCGAUUAAAAUGCAUAGUUUUAGUGAGUGAGCUCCAGAUCGCAAAGAAAAUGGUUGGACAUGGUCCGCAAAGGCAAUGUUUUCCCUUUCGAAACGAAACAAACAGUGAUGUUUCUCAAGAUUGUAAUUUGUAAUUUACAUGAUUGAAAGCUUCAGAUCAUUUUUUCUCGAACGAUCCAAAACCUUUAAGUGGCCAUACCUNNNNN
rnacentral:lncRNA from 1 species